GAAAAUGGCCAUGUAGGAGGUGGAGAAAUCAGAACUCAAAUCACGGUUGUCAAAGAAGAAGAAAUUUUUCUCCCUCAACCAAAGUGGCACGAGCCUGUUUUACAGAACAUGAAAGCAAACCCAGAGAUGGAUUUUUAUGAACAGCUGUGUCUGCUGAACACAUCUGCCCUUCGGCCCUGCUGUGAAGGGCAAGAAAUGGCUUCUGCUCUGGUGGCUUGAGCAAACAGGUAGUAUUUUACCACCUGCCCCCUCCCCCAGCCCCCUUUUCUUUUAAUGACAGCAAACUGAGAUGUCACUGCCCAACAGGAAAGGGCCCUGUGGUCAGGACCGAGUGCGGAAUUCGCCUUGGGCACUCUAGAGGCAGGGAGAAGCCGGCAGGCAGGGGUAUAAGCGCACCUCACCUCGGGCCCAGCCCUCCUCUUCCAGUGAGCAUUCCUGAACCCCAGCAGCGGCAGACCUUGCACCCUGGGGGCUGAAUUGACUUGGGGUGGUGAGGGGUCUUGUCUGUCUCCACCCUUCGGGGAGCAUACUGAUUGGUGUGAGCGAGUGUGUCCAGAACCGGGCACACAGGGACCGGUGGGAAGAGGUGGUGACACCUCUUCUUUAAAAACACUCUUAAAGUUGUCUGCAUUUUCAGCAGUUGGAAGGAUCUGUCGAGGCUCAGGCACGUAGGAAAUGUAUAGUUUGUAGCAUCACGGUAAUCUCAAAGAGAUUUGAAUUAUGUGAAGUGUUCCCGGGAAGCAGGAGGCAGUUGUCCGUGAUGGUGUUCAGGCUGAGGCAGCACCACCACGGUGCGCGGGUCUCCGGUCACCUGUAAGAGCUCGCUCCGCUUUCUCAUGCAUUCGGCUACACUGGCUGAUGUAGUCAGUUGCGUUAAUUAAAUGAACUUUAUCGUAUGCUCUUUUAAACCUUUGUUUUAUAUUUAAAAAAAAAAAAAAAAACCCUGGGUUGGCACGUUGAUUGGGAAACCAGAGGGGGACCCAGCAACUUCUCCCCCAAAGUGAAGCUUUUCCAGGUUUUGUUGAGAAGACACCUGCCAGCACUUUUGGAAGCUGAAAUUAACAGAAGCAAAUUCACCAGGAGGGAAAGAUUUCAGGCCAACACAAAAGCAAAUGAAAGGGCUAUUAAAAAAUUUUUUUACACCUUUGAAAAUCGCAGGUUUGGUGCAAAGAGGUCUGUCAUCUUUCCCCUGGGAUAUGAGAUUAUCUAGCUCACAGUAGAGGAUCAUCAGUGACAACUCUAGCAGUUACAGUGUGUAAUAAGUACUGCUCCCAGUGGCAAUUAGUGAGGAAACUACUAUAAGUUAUUUCAACUGGAAAAAAAAAAAAAAAGAGCCCUCUUCUACUGGCCUUUUGCAGAAUACAGCAGAUGGAAUUGCCACUUGCAAUUGGUACUUUAUACUUUGCUGCUGUUUUUGUAUGAAAUGACUUAUCCCAUAUUUUUGCAUGGAUUUCUACCAGGAAAAAUAAAGGGAUUUCCUAUGGAAGUCCUGUCUUAAUUGCAGGUGAAGGGAAGAAAGUGUACACUUUUGGCAGGUAUAAACCUCAAAUGUGAUGACAUUUCUGAUGCUAUGUGGAGAUGUUGGGGGCUUCCUGGGUGCCUCACUUACAGGAUCCUAGGCCUCUGAAGCUCCAGCCCUGAAGUUUCCAGGUAGGAGAGCUGCUUGCCAAGCCUCCAGAGGACACAGGAAGAGACGAGAGUACGUGGCCAGACCUGGACUGGUCUUUGCGCAGGACUGUCGACACAGAGCCGGAGACGAUACAGGAAAUCAUCUGAACCUCCUGGAUGUGUGUUCCUGCUCCCAGUCAGGUCUGAGACUCAUGGUAUGACUUCUUAUUCCAUUUUGGCCUCGGCUGAAGCCAUCGUGGUGCCCCCUCUAGAAGCCAUGGGGAGCAGUCUCUGAGGGCCCGCGUUCUCCACCUGCUAACGUGAUCUCCUGUGAGGGCUUCCUACGGCGCACAGCUGUCCCCCAGGUACUUGGGAACCGGCUUCAGGUACAGCCCAGUUUGGGUGAUCUUGUUGGUCACAUCUGGCUGCAUUUGGAUGGUGUCUCAGAACCCUCAGUGCUCAAAGCUAAAGGCUACUUCUAGGAGGCGUGAAGUUUUAAUUUUGUGUUUUUCCGAGAGCUACUUGCUUGGCCCUUUUUCUUUAUAGACUAGACUGCUGGAGGAGGAGGAUGAGAGGAAAAAGUGGGGAAGCCCACCUUCAGCACCAUUGAAAAGAAAUUUGGUUGUACCCAGAGGUUAGGAUCUGGUUUCAUUCCCACCCUAGAGGCUGCGUAGGUGGCUUUGAGGCACAUGUAAUAUUAGUGUCCUUCAAGUCAUAAAAAUAGUUUAAAAAUCCUAUUGCCUGAAGGCAUUUAUACAUUGAAAAACUUAAAGGACAGCUGAAAGGGGCAGGAGGAAAUCGGGGCAGUUCUGGGGGGUGACGGUGGCUGUUGGAGACCCUUUUCAGUGCCGUUGUCCAGGCUGCACAACGUGCCUCGCUUCCCUGCCCCGGGCUCCCCGCCAGGCCACCUUCACCUUGCGGCUUGUGCUGACGCUGACCUGAGAGCAGCUAGAGCGCGGGGGCCCUGGAUCCUGGCCUCAGCGCCUCCCUCAGGAGCCAGCUUGUAUUCCCUUUCCUCUCCGCCCACUCCCUCCCCGCUCCUAACUUUAUUUAGUACUUGGAGCCUUCCAGUGCAAGUAGGUAGCCGCCCCAGCGGUUCGGGUUACAGGCCUGUGCUGGCCAGUCUUCUCUGCUGGCCACCUUCCUGGCAGGCUGCAGAUCUGACAUUCUGAGACAAGCCCAGAGUCAGGAGCGGGGACUUGGACUCUUAGGAAGAACAGACAUGAGGGCAAGGCUGCUGGCAGACUUUUCCAUUGUCCUUAUGUUGUCUGUGCUGUAUUUUUUUAUUUACCAUGGUGAUUAUUUUUUUAAAUCAUUGUUAAUGUAUUGGAAUGAGCUGUAGCACGUAUCUUGUGCUUAGUUUGUUUUUCUCCAUCUCCCUCUGGCUUCCUAGAGUUUGGACGUAUUCCAGGGCUAAAUGCUUUUACUCACACCGCAGAAAAAGGUUUUCUUUAAGUAACGCGUGCAUGUCAUGCAUGUAUGUGAGUAGCUUGGGGAGACGGCAGAUAUCUCAUUUCAUUCUCAGCCCCAAGCUGCCAUUUCUGGGCUCCGUGAGGGUCUCUGCGGGGUGAGAGCUCACAUUAGAGCUCUCAUUAGGCCACUCUCUGUAGUCCUUAAAAGGAGAAGGGAGGGACAGGAAUCUGCAGACUGCUCAGGGGACUGUUUACCAAGGGGGUUACCAAGUAGCAAGAGAGGGCAUGAGUUUGGUUCCGGGCCCUGUGUCUUACUGUGUGACUAAGUGGCACAGUUGGGAGUUUUUCCCAAAUCUACAUCUUUGCUAGAAGAAAACCUCAACACGGCUAAGUUGUACCGUUUUUCUUGGUGUGGCAUAGAUGUUCCCUUCUCGAACCCCUUCAAGUGACAGUCUUUCAGGAGUAUCAGCCACUCCGCAAGUGGGUGGGAAAGCAGAAAAGCGUAUGGAUCAAAAAUGAGGCGCCUCUGAUGGAAGAGCGGGGAAAUGACGUGCGCCCCAGGCACCCUUUCAGAAGCACAGCUACCACAUGCAAAAACUCGCGCACCGUGUAAACUGGAUGGAGAAAUUCUCUCAAGUGAUCCUGUAAUUUUUUGCUUUUGUGCUAAAGUAAUGUACACUCGAGCAUUCUGGUGUUUUUAUAUUUAUGUAAUAAUUUCUUAAAACCAUUCAAGACAGAUAACUAUUUAAUUUUUUGAAGAAAGUUGGAAAAGGCUCUCCUCCCAAGGACAGUGGCUGGGAAGAGACGGGGCACAGCCAGUUCCAAAUGCUGGUAGAGGGUGCAGUGGCUUUUGGGCUCAGCACCUGGGACGACUGACCCAGGCUGGCUCCCCACGUGGCAGCAUGUGACACAGGCAGCUCAGAGUCGAAUACAGGCCCUUACGUGGGGGCCUCUGAACCAAGCCCCUCUCCCUUCCUAGGGGUGAGAACUGUCCAGAGGGAUGAAGCCAUCUUCCUCCAGGAAGCCUUCAUUCACCCUCAGUGCUGCUGUUGCAACUAGGCUGUUCUGGGCAGGACUCCUGUUGGGGUGUGCGUUUGGGUGGGGAAAAAGAACGCGGAGGAUGUUGAUUACCUUCCCUUCUCAGCCAGCCUGACCUUUUAAUACCUUUGUAAAAAGCAUGUAUGUAUUUAUAGUGUUUUAGAUUUUUCUAACUUUUAUCUUAAGAGCAGAGCACCUGUUUAAGCAUUGUACCCCCUAUUGUUAAAGAACUGUGUCCUCUCUCUCCCCUGUAAGUGCCCUUCUAAUAAACUUUUCAUUGAAAAGCU